rnacentral:rRNA from 1 species
GAUGAACGCUAGCGGCAGGCUUAACACAUGCAAGUCGAGGGGCAUCGCGGGGAGUAGCAAUACACUCUGGCGGCGACCGGCGGAAGGGUGCGUAACACGUGAGCGACAUGCCCGCAUCAGGGGGAUAACCGCUGGAAACGGCGACUAAUACCCCAUGGUCCCGGGAGGGUGCAUGCCCUAUCGGGUAAAGGGAACGACCGGAUGCGGAUUGGCUCGCGGCGCAUUAGCUAGUAGGCGGGGUAACGGCCCACCUAGGCGACGAUGCGUAGGGGCCCUGAGAGGGGGGUCCCCCACACUGGGACUGAGACACGGCCCAGACUCCUACGGGAGGCAGCAGUGAGGAAUAUUGGUCAAUGGGCGGAAGCCUGAACCAGCCAUGCCGCGUGAGGGAAAAGGCCCUACGGGUUUUCAACCUCUUUGACCUGGGAGCAAUAAGGACCGCGAGCCGGUCCGAUGAGAGUACCAGGAGAACAAGCAUCGGCUAACUCCGUGCCAGCAGCCGCGGUAAUACGGGGGAUGCGAGCGUUAUCCGGAUUCAUUGGGUUUAAAGGGUGCGCAGGCUGUGGGUCAAGUCAGCGGUGAAACCCCCGCGCUCAACGCGGGGCUUGCCGUUGAUACUGGUCCGCUGGAGUUCGUGCGCCGCCGGAGGAAUGUGUGGUGUAGCGGUGAAAUGCAUAGAUAUCACACAGAACACCGAUUGCGGAGGCAUCUGGCGAGCACGCGACUGACGCUGAGGCACGAAAGCGUGGGGAUCGAACAGGAUUAGAUACCCUGGUAGUCCACGCCGUAAACGAUGAUGGCUAGCCGUCGGUGCGCAAGCAUCGGUGGUCAAGGGAAACCGAUAAGCCAUCCACCUGGGGAGUACGGCCGCAAGGCUGAAACUCAAAGGAAUUGACGGGGGCCCGCACAAGCGGAGGAACAUGUGGUUUAAUUCGAUGAUACGCGAGGAACCUUACCCGGGCUCGAACGGCCGUUGGAUGCUCCAGAGACGGGGCAGUCUUCGGACAGCGGCCGAGGUGCUGCAUGGUUGUCGUCAGCUCGUGCCGUGAGGUGUCGGCUUAAGUGCCAUAACGAGCGCAACCCCUGCGUCCAGUUGCCAGCGAUACGGUCGGGGACUCUGGACGGACUGCCGCCGCAAGGUGCGAGGAAGGGGGGGAUGACGUCAAAUCAGCACGGCCCUUACGUCCGGGGCGACACACGUGUUACAAUGGGGGGGUACAGAGGGGAGCCAGGCCGCGAGGCCGAGCGGAUCCCGAAAGCCCCUCCCAGUUCGGAUCGGAGUCUGCAACCCGACUCCGUGAAGCUGGAUUCGCUAGUAAUCGCGCAUCAGCCAUGGCGCGGUGAAUACGUUCCCGGGCCUUGUACACACCGCCCGUCAAGCCAUGGGAGCCGGGAGCGCCUGAAGUCCGUGACCGCGAGGAGCGGCCUAGGGCGAGACCGGUGACUGGGGC